rfam:Felis catus isolate Cinnamon breed Abyssinian chromosome D2, whole genome shotgun sequence.
GCCUGAGUGGCUCAGUUGGUUGAGCCACUGACUUCGGCUCAGGUCGUGAUCUCAUGGUUUGUGAGUUCGAGCCCCGCAUCGGGCU